UUCAUCACCAGGCCGGGAAGCAAUAGCCUGGGCUCCAGAGUCAGCCACUCAUCUGUGCACAGACGAGGAGAGGUCUGUGAAGCUUUGGCACAGUCUGGGACCCUAGCUCUUUUGUAACGAGUUGUUUGGCAUGAGGUCCAGUCACGAGGACCCUUCGCAACUGGGCUCAAGGAACACAAAAAGAAAGAAGAUAUUGAAAUGCAUGGAUAUUAUUUGCAAGGAUGGUCACUGAAGAAUUGUUUGCAAUUGUGGAAACAACCUAAGUGUCAACAGAAUGGUUGCCUAACUGUGAUACAGUGGUACUAUGGCAUACUAAGCUGCCAAUGAAAAAGAAAGGCAAAUCUCUUUGCGGUAAUAUGGAAAACAACCAUGGAGAUAUUAUCAACUGGAAUUUUUUUUCAGAAUUGCAGGUGGGUUGGGAAGCUCCAUUCUGUAUCACCCUCGCUCAAGGACCUGGACUGAAGGAUUUCUGCUUUCAAGAAGAAAAAAAAAAAUAGAAGACAUGUUUACUAAUACACUGGUAAUUAUUUCUAUUCAUAUUUUAUUGGCCAGAGCGAGUCAUAUGGGUAUACAACAUAAAAUGAGGUGCAGAAUUUCAAUCCUAUCAUUUGCUUGGAAGGUGGAGAGUCAUAUUUGGAGAACAUGAGUUCGUUCUAUAAUUGUUGGAUGUAGCAGUCUAUACAUGUCCACUAAGUCAAGUUUGCUAAUCGUGUUUAAAUAAUCUAUAUCCUUACUCAUGUAUCUGUUCACUUCUUGCAGUUUUG